GUGUCAGCAGCCGCGGUAAUACGAGUGGUGCAAGCGUUAUUCGGAGUAAUUGGGCGUAUAGGGUGCGUAGGCGGCAUAUUAAGUCAACUGUUAAAUCCCCCAGCUUAACUGGGGAACAGCGGUAGAUACUGGUGUGCUAGAGGAUGGAAGAGAGAAGCGGAAUUCUUGGAGUAGCGGUAAAAUGCGUAGAUCUCAAGAGGAACACCGAUGGCGAAGGCAGCUUCUUAGUCCAUAUCUGACGCUGAGGCACGAAAGCGUGGGGAGCAAACAGGAUUAGAUACCCCGGUAGUCC
rnacentral:rRNA from 1 species